CCCUUAGAUGUCCUGGGCCGCACGCGUGCUACACUGAUGCAUACAGCGAGUACUCCCAGCCCCGAGAGGCUGCUGGUAAUCAGCAAUAUGCAUCGUGAUGGGGAUAGAUCUUUGGAAUUAUAGAUCUUGAACGAGGAAUUCCUAGUAAUCGCAGGUCAUCACCCUGCGUUGACUAAGUCCCUGCCCUUUGUACACACCGCCCGUCGCUCCUACCGAUUUCGAGUGAUCCGGUGAAUCAUUCGGACCGCGGCCCCUAGGCAUGCGGAAAGUCUAGUAAACCAUAUCACUUAGAGGAAGGAGAAGUCGUAACA
rnacentral:rRNA from 1 species